rnacentral:rRNA from 1 species
GACGAACGCUGGCGGCGUGCUUAACACAUGCAAGUCGAACGGAAAGGCCCUGCUUUUGUGGGGUGCUCGAGUGGCGAACGGGUGAGUAACACGUGAGUAACCUGCCCUUGACUUUGGGAUAACUUCAGGAAACUGGGGCUAAUACCGGAUAGGAGCUCCUGCUGCAUGGUGGGGGUUGGAAAGUUUCGGCGGUUGGGGAUGGUCUCGCGGCUUAUCAGCUUGUUGGUGGGGUAGUGGCUUACCAAGGCUUUGACGGGUAGCCGGCCUGGGAGGGUGACCGGCCACAUUGGGACUAAGAUACGGCGCAGACUCCUACGGGAGGCAGCAGUGGGGAAUAUUGCACAAUGGGCGGAAGCCUGAUGCAGCAACGCCGCGUGCGGGAUGACGGCCUUCGGGUUGUAAACCGCUUUCGCCUGUGACGAAGCGUGAGUGACGGUAAUGGGUAAAGAAGCACCGGCUAACUACGUG